GACAGAGGGUGCAAACGUUGUUCGGAAUUACUGGGCGUAAAGCGCGUGUAGGCUGCUUCGAAAGUCGGAUGUGAAAGCCCUGGGCUCAACCUAGGAAGUGCAUUCGAAACUUCGAAGCUGGAGUCCUGGAGAGGAAGGCGGAAUUCUCGGUGUAGAGGUGAAAUUCGUAGAUAUCGGGAGGAACACCGGUGGCGAAGGCGGCGACCUGGGUAGAUACUGACGCUGAGGUGCGAAAGCGUGGGGAGCAAACAGG
rnacentral:rRNA from 1 species